GCCUUACACAUGCAAGUCGAACGGUAACAGGUUAAGCUGACGAGUGGCGAACGGGUGAGUAAUGUAUCGGAACGUGCCCAGUCGUGGGGGAUAACUGCUCGAAAGAGCAGCUAAUACCGCAUACGACCUGAGGGUGAAAGCGGGGGAUCGCAAGACCUCGCGCGAUUGGAGCGGCCGAUAUCAGAUUAGGUAGUUGGUGAGGUAAAGGCUCACCAAGCCGACGAUCUGUAGCUGGUCUGAGAGGACGACCAGCCACACUGGGACUGAGACACGGCCCAGACUCCUACGGGAGGCAGCAGUGGGGAAUUUUGGACAAUGGGCGCAAGCCUGAUCCAGCCAUGCCGCGUGCGGGAAGAAGGCCUUCGGGUUGUAAACCGCUUUUGUCAGGGAAGAAAAGGUUCUGGCUAAUACCUGGGACUCAUGACGGUACCUGAAGAAUAAGCACCGGCUAACUACGUGCCAGCAGCCGCGGUAAUACGUAGGGUGCAAGCGUUAAUCGGAAUUACUGGGCGUAAAGCGUGCGCAGGCGGUUAUGCAAGACAGAGGUGAAAUCCCCGGGCUCAACCUGGGAACUGCCUUUGUGACUGCAUGGCUAGAGUACGGUAGAGGGGGAUGGAAUUCCGCGUGUAGCAGUGAAAUGCGUAGAUAUGCGGAGGAACACCGAUGGCGAAGGCAAUCCCCUGGACCUGUACUGACGCUC
rnacentral:rRNA from 1 species